rnacentral:lncRNA from 1 species
AGCAAUCGCAAGGCAAUGGCUGACAGUCAGGCCCAGCUUGGUAUUGGUUCAGUUGUCUUGGGAACUGUUGAGAGCCUAAAACCUUAUGGUGCUUUCAUUGAUAUCGGCGGAAUCAAUGGCCUUCUCCAUGUCAGCCAAAUUAGUCAUGACCGUGUUGCGGAUAUCUCAACAGUUCUGCAACCAGGAGACACCCUUAAGGUACAUCUGUCAUGGUACAUGGGAAUUAUUUUGUACCCAUACUUCAUAGAGCUAAGAUCAUCGCGGCGUGUGGAUUUCAGGUGAUGAUACUGAGCCAUGACCGUGAAAGAGGCCGUGUCAGCCUUUCUACAAAGAAGCUUGAGCCAACACCUGGCGACAUGAUCCGCAAUCCCAAGCUUGUUUUCGAAAA